GGUCACCAGCGUUUUCCCAUUGUCUCUGGGCUGCAUGUCUAGACUAGCAUGUGCAAUCUGUGGGGAGACACGAAGAAGAGAGGGGUGCUGAGGAGAGUCUGCCGUGCAAGAGGGAGAUGACAACCCUUCUUCCUCUGCUCUUUACAAGUUACCCAGUAAUGGAUAGUCCUGGACCAAGACUGUUUGUUUGUUUGCGGGCACCUACAUCUAUGUACCCUGGUUGUGCUGCUUCUGUGAAUUGUUGGUUUGUCGACUGGUCCGCCUGAAGCGUGCACCCUCAGAUGAAUUCAACAUGGAUCCUCUCCUUUCUGAAAUCGCCCUCAGGAUACACCAAACGUCAAUCCACCAGGAGGGGAGGCCGUAAUCACUGCCAGAGCUACAAGAUCCCGUAUUUAACGCCAAGUGAAGAACAAACAAGGGAAACUCCAAUUCAAGAGACAGUAAAUCCACACUCUGUGAUUACAACACGGACUAAAGAACUACACCACCAACUCUCACACAAUUAUUCUUUAUAUAUGUUUUUUCUUUCCUGGAAUAUAUCUACAGUGGGG